rnacentral:siRNA from 1 species
ACUAAAUUUUAUUUCGUGUUGG